UCUCUGGCCUUUGGACUGUGACUGAAUUGCAGUGGCAGCUUUCCUGAGUCUCCCGCUGGCAGAGAGCAGAUGGCAGGACUUCUUGGCCUCCAAUCAUCAUAUUUAGGACAACUAUGAAGCGCCAUCUUAGUCCCAAACUUCCCGGGGGAUUGAGUAUAUGCACGUGGAGAGUCAUGCGUGAGUACAGAGGUGGGCCGGGAUGGCUGUCAGGGCCCAAAAUGUUCACUUGGAAGAUAACAGAAUGUACGUGGUGUAAAAAGUCUUGAGUCCAGGUAAUAGGACCUAGGGAGAAAGUACAUAGAAAAGGGUGGAGGACUGAGCUUGGGGCACUCCAUCACCAGCUGGAUGGCGGGGAGAGGCGAGGAAAGGCAGCAGUGUGUGGUGCUGCAGAGGGGCUGUGUCAAAGGGGAGGGCUGCUGGGAGCUGGGGAACAGGACGCUAGGAUGUCCACGCAACCUGAUGCCAUGAAGUCAUUGGUGACCUGUCAAGAAGAGUGUUACUGCGAAGCAGAGGGCAAAAGCCAAGGGAGUUCAUGACCAGAGGAAGUGCUUGGUCCCCAACAGAUGCCUACUCGAAACUUGCUGAUGGAGAGCUUGUCAAUUUCAUCUAACAAACCGGAAUCACUGGGGCCAUCCAGGAAUCACAGCAGCUCAUGAAGAAAUUCCACGCGAACAGGGCUGUUAAAAGCCAACCCGCCAGAAAGGGUAGAACGGAGGAAGGACAAGAGGGUUCUAACACCUCCUGGAGGCAGAGCACCCACGGAAGUUUCUCAACACUUCUCGUUGAUUCAAGUGGAAGUGAGUAAAUUCCCUGACAU
rnacentral:lncRNA from 1 species